UGGAGUGAAAAGAAAAAACAUAAGAUAUCAUGAAGAUAUGGACAGUAUAUGAAAAAUGGAUCGAAGAAGCCAGAUUUAACAAAGAGCCAUGGAGUGAGAGAAUAAGAAGAAUGAAUCUCCUACUGCUUGCAUGAAAUAACCAAUAGAAAGAAGGGGGGAGAAAAUGGAAAAAAUG